rnacentral:misc_RNA from 1 species
GUAGGUUGUUCCUCUGGAUUUAGUAAUGAUAAAACUCAUCGCUGAACUUCAUCCAUAUCUGCUCUUCUUAAUUCCCUUGAGUUUGAAUAUAUCAUAACUUGAUCUCUAGCUUAAUAGCUCCAUAUGGCAUUUCCAUUUAAAGAAUUAGUUGCUAACUCUUGUAUGAUAGUUGAUGUACCAAUUAUUCUUUUAUUGGCAUAAAAACAUGGUAUUUCUAUCUU